rnacentral:tRNA from 1 species
AGAAACUUAGGCUAAAUCCCAAACCAAGGGCCUUCAAAGCCCUAAUCAGGAGUAACCACCCCCCUAGUUUCUG